CAUGCUGUGCCUGAUUAAAGGGCUACUUUGAUGUAGUAGACAAGGAAAUAAUUUAACCUAGCAUGA
rnacentral:tRNA from 1 species